rnacentral:rRNA from 1 species
ACAUAACUGAUGCCUCCGCGUAUCGACUUUGUGCGCAUUUUAGCUAUUAUGUGUUCUUUUAAUUAAAAUGAUUCUUUUUAAGAUUCAUCUAUUAAAAAUUUGCUUCUGCAUAAUUUUUUUUGAUGAUCUUGUUACUUUGAGUAAAUUAGAGUGUUCAAGGCAAACAGAUAUAGCAUUUGUGCGUUUGAAUACUACAGCAUGGAAUAACAAAAUUGAACAAGUCAGAAUUUUUUUGUUCUUUUUUCUUAUUUUGGCUUAGUUACGAUUAAUAGGAGUAGCUUGGGGGCAUUUGUAUUCAGAUGUCAGAGGUGAAAUUCUUAGAUUUUCUGGAGACAAACAACUGCGAAAGCAUUUGCCUAAAAUACUUCCAUUAAUCAAGAACGAAAGUUAAGGGAGUGAAGACGAUCAGAUACCGUCGUAAUCUUAACCAUAAACUAUGCCGACUAGGCUUUGGAUGAAAGAUUUUAAAAUAAGAGUUUUUCUUUUCUCUCCGGAGAUUAGAACUCUUAGAUUGCUUCCUUCAGUGCCUUAUGAGAAAUCAAAGUCUUUGGGUUCUGGGGCGAGUAUUCGCGCAAGCGAGAAAGUUAAAAGAAUUGACGGAAGGGCACCACCAGGCGUGGAGCUUGCGGCUUAAUUUGACUCAACACGGGAAAACUCACUAGUUUAAGACAAGAGUAGGAUUGACAGAUUAAUAGCUCUUUCUUGAUUUCUUGGAUGGUGAUGCAUGGCCGUUUUAGUUCGUGAAUAUGAUUUGUCUGGUUAAUUCCGAUAACGAACGAGAUCUUAACCUGCUAAUUAGCGGCAAAUACGAUAUAUUCUUAUGUAGAAUUGAAUAUAGUGGAUUUGUUAGAUUUUGAAGAAAAUAUUGGAAUUACGUUAAAUGUGAUUCCUUUCCCUUUUCUACUUAAUUUACAUUUCCAUCUAUUUCUUUUUUGCGUAUGAAUGUAUUUGCUUGAUUGUAAAGCUUCUUAGAGGAACGAUGUGUG